GUCAGGAUGGCCGAGUGGUCUAAGGCGCCAGACUCAAGGAACACUCCUUGCUCUGCGAUACAGAGUAAGCCGAUGAGACUUCUGGUCCUCGAUGAGGGCAUGGGUUCGAAUCCCAUUUCUGACA
rnacentral:tRNA from 1 species